GACGAACGCUGGCGGCGUGCUUAACACAUGCAAGUCGAACGGAAAGGCCCUGCUUUUGUGGGGUGCUCGAGUGGCGAACGGGUGAGUAACACGUGAGUAACCUGCCCUUGACUUUGGGAUAACUUCAGGAAACUGGGGCUAAUACCGGAUAGGAGCUCCUGCUGCUUGGUGGGGGUUGGAAAGUUUCGGCGGUUGGGGAUGGACUCGCGGCUUAUCCGCUUGUUGGGGGGGUAGUGGCAUACCAAGGCUUUGACGGGUAGCCGGCCUGAGAGGGGGACCGGCCAAAUGAGGACGGAAAUACGGCCCAGACGCCAAUGGGAGGGAACAGAGGGGAGUAUUACACAGUGGGAUGAGCGCGAGCGCAACAACGCCGGGUGGGGAAAGACGGGAAUCGGGUUGUAAACCGCAUCCGCCUGUGACGAAACGAGAAUGACGGUAAGGGGUAAAUAAGCACCGGCUAACUACGUG
rnacentral:rRNA from 1 species